rnacentral:rRNA from 1 species
GCUGUUAAGGGUUCGUAGUUGAAUUCAGAGUUGUGAAAGUUUGCUACCUCGGUAGCUCUUCCUCCCACUCUGUCCUUGACGGGGCCGGAGUCUGCCGAAGCGUCCCUUCACUGGGUACGCGGAGCGGUUGGCUGAAGAGGCCGACAUUACACAUGCAACGCAUGUCGAGACCGCCCGUCGUUUCACUGUGAAGAAAACAGCGUGUUCAAGGCAGCCGCUUGCGGCUGGAUGAUAAAGCUGGAAUGACAAAGCAUCGACCACUGGGUCCGUCUUUUGUCGGUUUUUACGACCCAUUUGGGUAAUCUGUUGGCGAAGUGUGAAUUCCAGCCACCUUGUGUGGAGGGAAGCUUCGUCGACACGGGAUCAAUGGGGGUUGUCGGGGGAAAACGUAUCUGAGCGUGAGAGGUGAAAUUCUUGACCGCUCGGGGACGAACUUAUGCGAAGGCAUUUUCCAAGUAUACCUUCCUCAAUCAGAACUAAAGUG